AAUGAACGCUGGCGGCAUGCCUAAUACAUGCAAGUCGAGCGAACAGACGAGGAGCUUGCUCCUCUGACGUUAGCGGCGGACGGGUGAGUAACACGUGGAUAACCUACCUAUAAGACUGGGAUAACUUCGGGAAACCGGAGCUACUACCGGAUAAUAUAUUGAACCGCAUGGUUCAAUAGUGAAAGACGGUUUUGCUGUCACUUAUAGAUGGAUCCGCGCCGCAUUAGCUAGUUGGUAAGGUAACGGCUUACCAAGGCGACGAUGCGUAGCCGACCUGAGAGGGUGAUCGGCCACACUGGAACUGAGACACGGUCCAGACUCCUACGGGAGGCAGCAGUAGGGAAUCUUCCGCAAUGGGCGAAAGCCUGACGGAGCAACGCCGCGUGAGUGAUGAAGGUCUUCGGAUCGUAAAACUCUGUUAUUAGGGAAGAACAAAUGUGUAAGUAACUAUGCACGUCUUGACGGUACCUAAUCAGAAAGCCACGGCUAACUACGUG
rnacentral:rRNA from 1 species